AUGGAGAGUUUGAUCCUGGCUCAGGACGAACGCUGGCGGCGUGCUUAACACAUGCAAGUCGAACGGAAAGGCCCUGCUUUUGUGGGGUGCUCGAGUGGCGAACGGGUGAGUAACACGUGAGUAACCUGCCCUUGACUUUGGGAUAACUUCAGGAAACUGGGGCUAAUACCGGAUAGGAGCUCCUGCUGCAUGGUGGGGGUUGGAAAGUUUCGGCGGUUGGGGAUGGACUCGCGGCUUAUCAGCUUGUUGGUGGGGUAGUGGCUUACCAAGGCUUUGACGGGUAGCCGGCCUGAGAGGGUGACCAGCCACACUGGGACUGAGACACGGACCAGACUCCUACGGGAGGCAGCAGUGGGGAAUAUUGCACAAUGGGGGAAACCCUGAUGCAGCCAUGCCGCGUGUGUGAAGAAGGCCUUCGGGUUGUAAAGCACUUUCAGUUGUGAGGAAAAGUUAGUAGUUAAUACCUGCUAGCCGUGACGUUAACAACAGAAGAAGCACCGGCUAACUCCGUGCCAGCAGCCGCGGUAAUACGGAGGGUGCAAGCGUUAAUCGGAAUUACUGGGCGUAAAGCGCGCGUAGGCGGACUAUUAAGUCAGAGGUGAAAUCCCGGGGCUCAACCCCGGAACUGCCUUUGAUACUGGUAGUCUUGAGUUCGAGAGAGGUGAGUGGAAUUCCGAGUGUAGAGGUGAAAUUCGUAG
rnacentral:rRNA from 1 species